rnacentral:rRNA from 1 species
CGCCAGACUCCUACGGGAGGCAGCAGUGGGGAAUAUUGCACAAUGGGGGGAACCCUGAUGCAGCGACGCCGCGUGAGUGAAGAAGUAUUUCGGUAUGUAAAGCUCUAUCAGCAGGGAAGAAGAUGACGGUACCUGACUAAGAAGCCCCGGCUAACUACGUGCCAGCAGCCGCGGUAAUACGUAGGGGGCAAGCGUUAUCCGGAUUUACUGGGUGUAAAGGGAGCGUAGACGGCAGGGCAAGUCUGGAGUGAAAGCCCGGGGCCCAACCCCGGGACUGCUUUGGAAACUGUGCAGCUAGAGUGCAGGAGAGGUAAGUGGAAUUCCUAGUGUAGCGGUGAAAUGCGUAGAUAUUAGGAGGAACACCAGUGGCGAAGGCGGCUUGCUGGACUGUAACUGACACUGAGGCUCGAAAGCGUGGGGAGCAAACAGGAUUAGAUACCCGCGUAU